GGACUACAGGGGUAUCUAAUCCUGUUUGCUCCCCACGCUCUCGCGCCUCAGUGUCAGUAUCAAGCCAGGUAGCCGCCUUCGCCACUGGUGUUCCUUCCGAUAUCUACGCAUUUCACCGCUACACCGGAAAUUCCACUACCCUCUCUUGUACUCCAGUCUCACAGUAUAAGAUGCACGUCCCAGGUUAAGCCCGGGGAUUUCACAUCUCACUUACAAGACCACCUACGCGCCCUUUACGCCCAGUAAUUCCGAUUAACGCUUGCACCCUCUGUAUUACCGCGGCUGCUGGCAC
rnacentral:rRNA from 1 species